rnacentral:rRNA from 1 species
GAUGAACGCUGGCGGCGUGCCUAAUACAUGCAAGUCGAGCGAACGGACGAGAAGCUUGCUUCUCUGAUGUUAGCGGCGGACGGGUGAGUAACACGUGGAUAACCUACCUAUAAGACUGGGAUAACUUCGGGAAACCGUAGCUAAUACCGAAUAAUAUUUUGAACCGCAUGGUUCAAAAGUGAAAGACGGUCUUGCUGUCACUUAUAGAUGGAUCCGCGCUGCAUUAGCUAGUUGGUAAGGUAACGGCUUACCAAGGCAACGAUGCAUAGCCGACCUGAGAGGGUGAUCGGCCACACUGGAACUGAGACACGGUCCAGACUCCUACGGGAGGCAGCAGUAGGGAAUCUUCCGCAAUGGGCGAAAGCCUGACGGAGCAACGCCGCGUGAGUGAUGAAGGUCUUCGGAUCGUAAAACUCUGUUAUUAGGGAAGAACAUAUGUGUAAGUAACUGUGCACAUCUUGACGGUACCUAAUCAGAAAGCCACGGCUAACUACGUG